rnacentral:rRNA from 1 species
GACGAACGCUGGCGGCGCGCCUAACACAUGCAAGUCGAACGAGCGAGAGAGAGCUUGCUUUCUUGAGCGAGUGGCGAACGGGUGAGUAACGCGUGAGGAACCUGCCUCAAAGAGGGGGACAACAGUUGGAAACGACUGCUAAUACCGCAUAAGCCCACGGUGCCGCAUGGCACAGAGGGAAAAGGAGCAAUCCGCUUUGAGAUGGCCUCGCGUCCGAUUAGCUAGUUGGUGAGGUAACGGCCCACCAAGGCGACGAUCGGUAGCCGGACGGAGAGGUUGAACGGCCACAUUGGGACUGAGACACGGCCCAGACUCCUACGGGAGGCAGCAGUGGGGAAUAUUGCACAAUGGGGGAAACCCUGAUGCAGCGACGCCGCGUGGAGGAAGAAGGUCUUCGGAUUGUAAACUCCUGUUGUUGGGGAAGAUAAUGACGGUACCCAACAAGGAAGUGACGGCUAACUACGUG